rnacentral:rRNA from 1 species
UUAAGUGACUAAGCGUAUGUGGUGGAUGCCUUGGCAGUUAGAGGCGAUGAAGGACGUGUUAAUCUGCGAAAAGCUUAGGUAAGGUGAUAAAAACCGUUACAGCCUAAGAUAUCCGAAUGGGGAAACCCACCCAACGUAAGUUGGGUAUCAUUAAGUGAAUACAUAGCUUAAUGAAGCGAACCAGGAGAACUGAAACAUCUAAGUACCCUGAGGAAAAGAAAUCAACCGAGAUUUCGUUAGUAGCGGCGAGCGAACGCGAAUCAGCCCUUAAGCUUAUUGGGCGCUAGUAGAAUCUACUGGAAAGUAGAACGAUACAGGGUGAUAGUCCCGUAUACUAAAGCAACCUUUAAGUGAAAUCGAGUAGGACGGAGCACGUGAAACUUUGUCUGAAUAUGGGGGGACCAUCCUCCAAGGCUAAAUACUACUAACUGACCGAUAGUGAACCAGUACCGUGAGGGAAAGGCGAAAAGAACCCCUGUGAGGGGAGUGAAAUAGAACCUGAAACCGCAUACGUACAAGCAGUGGAAGCCGGAUUUAGUCCGGUGACUGCGUACCUUUUGUAUAAUGGGUCAGCGACUUAUAUUCUGUAGCAAGGUUAACCGAUUAGGGGAGCCGUAGCGAAAGCGAGUGUUAACUGCGCGUUUAGUUGCAGGGUAUAGACCCGAAACCCGGCGAUCUACCCAUGGGCAGGUUGAAGGUUGAGUAACAUCAACUGGAGGACCGAACACACGUAUGUUGAAAAAUGCGGUGAUGACUUGUGGGUCGGAGUGAAAGGCUAAUCAAGCCGGGAGAUAGCUGGUUCUCCCCGAAAUCUAUUUAGGUAGAGCCUCGCACGAACACCAUUGGGGGUAGAGCACUGUUAAGGCUAGGGGGUCAUCCCGACUUACCAACCCUUUGCAAACUCCGAAUACCAAUGAGUGAUAUGCGGGAGACACACUGCGGGUGCUAACGUCCGUUGUGAAGAGGGAAACAACCCAGACCGCCAGCUAAGGUCCCAAAGUACUAGUUAAGUGGGAAACGAUGUGGAAAGGCAUAGACAGCUAGGAGGUUGGCUUAGAAGCAGCCAUCCUUUAAAGAAAGCGUAAUAGCUCACUAGUCGAGUCGGUCUGCGCGGAAGAUGUAACGGGGCUAAACUAGUCACCGAAGCUGCGGAUUCUUAAUUUAUUAAGAGUGGUAGGGGAGCGUUCUGUAAGCCGUUGAAGGUGAAUUGAGAAGUUUGCUGGAGGUAUCAGAAGUGCGAAUGCUGACAUGAGUAACGAUAAGGGGAGUGAAAAACUCCCCCGCCGAAAGACCAAGGUUUCCUGUCCCAUGUUAAUCAGGGCAGGGUAAGUCGGCCCCUAAGGCGAGGCGGAAACGCGUAGUCGAUGGGAAACAGAUUAAUAUUUCUGUACUUCUAUAUAUUGCGAAGGAGGGACGGAGUAGGCUAAAUGAGCACNNNNNNNNUUGAUGCCAUGCUUCCAGGAAAAGCUUCUAAGCUUCAGAUAUAUAGGAACCGUACCCCAAACCGACACAGGUGGUUAGGUAGAGAAUACUAAGGCGCUUGAGAGAACUCGGGUGAAGGAACUAGGCAAAAUAGUACCGUAACUUCGGGAGAAGGUACGCUGCUCACGGUGAUGGAACUUGCUUCCUAAGCUAAGAGUAGUCGAAGUAACCAGGUGGCUGGAACUGUUUAUUAAAAACACAGCACUGUGCAAAAUCGAAAGAUGACGUAUACGGUGUGACGCCUGCCCGGUGCCGGAAGGUUAAUUGAUUCGGUUAGUCCUCGGACGAAGCUGAUGAUCGAAGCCCCGGUAAACGGCGGCCGUAACUAUAACGGUCCUAAGGUAGCGAAAUUCCUUGUCGGGUAAGUUCCGACCUGCACGAAUGACUCAGUGAAAUUGAAUUUGCGGUUAAGAUGCCGUAUACCCGCGGCUAGACGGAAAGACCCCGUGAACCUUUACUAUAGCUUGACAGUGAACAUUGCUCCUACAUGUGUAGGAUAGGUGGGAGGCUUUGAAACCAUGUCGCUAGAUGUGGUGGAGCCAAUCUUGAAAUACCACCCUUGUAUGCGUGAUGUUCUAACCUAGGGCCCUAAUCGGGCUUGGGGACACUGUCUGGUGGGUAGUUUGACUGGGGCGGUCUCCUCCCAAAGAGUAACGGAGGAGCACGAAGGUUGGCUAAGUACGGUCGGACAUCGUACGGUUAGUGCAAUGGCA